UACAGAGGGUGCGAGCGUUGUUCGGAAUUAUUGGGCGUAAAGGGCGCGUAGGCGGCGCCACAAGUCACUUGUGAAAACUCUGGGCUCAACCCAGAGCCUGCAGGCGAAACUGUGGUGCUGGAGUAUGGGAGAGGUGCGUGGAAUUCCCGGUGUAGCGGUGAAAUUCGUAGAUAUUCGCAAGAACACCAGUGGCGAAGGCGGACUCACUGGCCCGGUACUGACGCUGAGGUGGCGAAAGCGUGGGGAGCAAACAGG
rnacentral:rRNA from 1 species